ACCUGCCUCGGCCUCCCAAAUGCUAGGAUUACAGGCGUGAGUCACCGUGCCCAGCCGCCUGAUUUUCUUUCUAAAGCUACAUUUUUACAAAUGGAAUAACUGGGUCAAAGGUAUGAAUGUUUUUAUAGCUAGAGAGCCAAAGUAUCUUCUAGGAAAUUGAUGUUUAUUUGUUCUCCACUCACUGAUCCAGCAAACAAAUAUUUAUUAAGCACCAUGUGCUAGACUUUAGAAAGUUUAUUACAAUAAACAAAAUAGUUACACUCUUUGCCCUCAAGAAGCUUUUGGUGGUUUUUUUCUUUUUUCUUUGAGACGGGGUCUUGCUCUGUCACCCAGGCUGGAAUGCAGAGGCAGGAUCAUAACCUGAGCCUAUCAAGGGAUCCACCCACCUCAGCUUCCUGUGUAACUGGUGCACAGCACCACACCCAGCUAAUUAUUUCUUAAUUUUUUGUAGGGACAGGGUGUUGCUAUGUUGCCUAGGCUGAUCUUGAACACCCAGCCUGAAGCAGUCCUCCUGCCUCAGCCUCCCAAAGUGUUGGGAUUACAGGUGUGAACCAUUGUGUCUGGCUAGAAGUUUUGAUCUUAAAAGAAGGCAUUAAAUCCUAAGUAUAUCCAUACCCUUGCCAACACUGAGUUUGUGCAGUUUAAAAAGAAAUCAAUUUCAUUUUGGGGGUAGGAAUGGUGUUUAUUGUUAUUGUUUAAAUUAGUGAGGUUGAACAAUUUUUCAUGUUCAUUUAUUUAUUCAUCAGUUGUUUAUUAAGCAUCUAUUAUAUGCUAAAACAAUGCUAGCCACUGGAAAUAUUAUAAAGAAAAUGGACAUGUGUUUUCCUUUACAGAGUUUAUAAUCUAUUAAUUAUUGGAUAUGUAUAUUUCUUCAUUUUUAAAUUAUAUUUUUUUCCAUUUUUCUAUUGGAACUUUUUUUCAGAAUUGAUUUGAGUGCUUCUUUAUUCAAUCAGUAUGUAAUGAACUAUCCUGUACUAAGCACUACUGUGCAAAACAAGAUAAACAAGGUUUUUCCUCCUAGAGAGCUUAUAUUGGGGUCAGGGCAAAGAGAACACAAUAAAUAAGUCAAGGAAAAUGUCAGAGAGCGUGGUGGCUCAUGCCUGUAAUCCCAGCACUU